UACAGGGGGUGCAAGCGUUGUCCGGAAUUAUUGGGCGUAAAGAGCUCGUAGGCGGUGUGUCACGUCGGCCGUGAAAACCUGCAGCUUAACUGUGGGCGUGCGGUCGAUACGGGCAUCACUGGAGUUCGGCAGGGGAGACUGGAAUUCCUGGUGUAGCGGUGAAAUGCGCAGAUAUCAGGAGGAACACCGGUGGCGAAGGCGGGUCUCUGGGACGAUACUGACGCUGAGGAGCGAAAGCGUGGGGAGCAAACAGG
rnacentral:rRNA from 1 species